GAUGAACGCUAGCGGCAGGCUUAAUACAUGCAAGUCGAGGGACAGCACAGGUAGCAAUACUGGGUGGUAACCGGCAAACGGGUGCGGAACACGUACACAACCUUCCUUUAAGUGGGGGAUAGCCCAGAGAAAUUUGGAUUAAUACCCCGUAAUAUAGUUGAAUGGCAUCAUUUGAUUAUUAUAGCUACGGCGCUUAAUGAUGGGUGUGCGGCUGAUUAGAUAGUUGGCGGGGUAACGGCCCACCAAGUCUACGAUCAGUAGCUGAUGUGAGAGCAUGAUCAGCCAAACGGGCACUGAGACACGGGCCCGACUCCUACGGGAGGCAGCAGUAAGGAAUAUUGGUCAAUGGACGCAAGUCUGAACCAGCCAUGCCGCGUGAAGGAUUAAGGUCCUCUGGAUUGUAAACUUCUUUUAUUUGGGACGAAAAAGGGCCUUUCUAGGUCUACUGACGGUACCAGAUGAAUGAGCACCGGCUAACUCCGUGCCAGCAGCCGCCGUAAAAC
rnacentral:rRNA from 1 species